rnacentral:tRNA from 19 species
GUCAGUUCGAAUCUGGCCCUAGUUU